AGGCAGGAAUGAGAUCUUGAUGAGUCUUUGCCCUCAGGUGUUCGGCAUGUACGUCGUCAAGCUGGCUGUUGCUAUGGUUUUGGCAGGUGGGGUACAGAGAAUAGAUGCGUCUGGAACCAAGGUGAGAGGAGAGUCUCAUCUGUUGCUCUUGGGCGAUCCAGGCACUGGGAAGUCACAGUUUUUGGAGUACGUCACGCUCUGUGCUCACCGCCGGAAUCAGAUCUACUAAUGCAGGCACUAUUCAGUUCUGUGCCGUUGCAUCAUAGUUUGCACGAUUGUGAUGCUGGUCAGGUCUGACAGUGGCGGCGGUCAAGGACUCUGGAGAGUGGCACCUGGAGGCUGGAGCCCUCGUUCUCUCUGAUGGAGGCCUGUGCUGCAUCGAUGAAUUCAAAAUUCACAGAAAAAAUCUGUGCAUUUAUUUAUUUUUUUAUUAACCAAAAGCUUGUGUGCUUCACAUU